UUCACCCUUCUCCCCUCUUCGAAUCGCCUGUAGCUCCUUCGGCCUCCGUGUGCCCGUCCGUGCUCGCCUCACCGCGGUUUCGUCGCCGUAAAGGCGAAAUUGUAAACGUUGGUUUCGAUAGCUAGCGCCUACUUGUAUGCCCUAUUUUUGCCCCAACGUUGAAGAAAGGGGCUAACAGGCUUUGGAAUUUGUUUUGAAGUCGCCGUAAUGUUGGGUUCAUUACCGAUAUUGCCUCUUCCUGCUCCUCCCUCUGAUGGAAAUCUAGGUCCUCGCCCUGAGGCUCAAUUGCCUGAGGAGAGGGAGGAUGAAAAAUCGUCUAAGGAGGAGGAGGCCAAAUCGAAUUCUACAUCAGUUGCUACGCACACUAGAACUAUUGGAAUCAUACAUCCCCCUCCAGAUAUUAGAACUAUCGUGGAUAAAACUGCCCAGUUCGUUGCUAAAAACGGGCCCGAAUUUGAGAAAAGGAUCAUUGCAAAUAACACCGGCAAUGUUAAGUUCAAUUUCCUGAAUUCAUCGGAUCCCUAUCAUGCAUACUAUCAACAUCGGUUAGCAGAAUUUCGUGCCCAAAACCAAUCUUCUACCCUGCAAUCUCCUUUGCAACCUGUAGAUUCAGCUUUGUCCGAACCAACCUUAUCUGCACCAGCCUCUGACAUUAAUGAUGCUGCAGCAGCACCAACAGCAGCAACAAAGCCCGACCCCUCCUCUCAGUUUAAGCCUGUGAGGAAAGUACUUGAACCUCCAGAAGCUGAGCAGUAUACAGUUAGGCUUCCUGAAGGGAUUACAGGGGAAGAGCUAGAUAUUAUAAAGCUCACGGCACAAUUUGUGGCUCGAAAUGGAAAAUCAUUUUUGACAGGGUUGACUAGUAGGGAGGUUAAUAACCCUCAAUUUCAUUUCUUGAAACCAACCCACAGCAUGUUUACAUUUUUCACUUCCCUUGCGGAUGCAUAUUCCAAGGUUUUGAUGCCUCCGAAGGGGUUGACAGAGAAGCUGAGGAAAAGUGUUUCUGACAUGACUACUGUCCUCGAACGGUGUGUGAACAGGCUGGAAUGGGAGCGUUCACAGGAGCAAGCUCGGCAAAAGGCUGAGGAUGAAAUAGAGCAGGAAAGGAUUCAAAUGGCGAUGAUAGAUUGGCAUGAUUUUGUAGUGGUUGAAACAAUAGAUUUUGCUGAUGAUGAGGAUAAGGAGCUGCCUCCCCCAAUGACGCUUGAGGAGGUUAUAAGGAGGAGCAAAGUUUCAGCCAUGGAAGAGGAUGUAGUUGAACCUGAAAAGGAAGUUGAAAUGGAAAUGGACGAGGAAGAGGCCCAACUUGUUGAAGAGGGCAUGAGGGCAGCUAGUUUGGAAGACAAGGAUGAGGGGAAGAAAGGUGGAGUCAAUGUUACAGAGGAGCCUGAACCACCUAUGAGGAUUGUGAAAAACUGGAAAAGACCAGAGGAAAGGAUUCCUGCAGAAAGAGAUCCAACAAAGUUUGUUGUUUCCCCUAUUACUGGUGAGCUAAUCCCAAUUAAUGAAAUGUCGGAACACAUGCGGAUUUCUCUCAUUGAUCCCAAGUUUAAAGAACAGAAAGAAAGGAUGUUCGCCAAAAUUCGUGAGACAACACUGGCUCAGGAUGAUGAAAUCUCAAGAAACAUUGUUGGACUUGCACGGACACGUCCUGAUAUCUUUGGUACUACUGAAGAGGAGGUUUCCAAUGCUGUCAAGGCAGAAAUUGAAAAGAAGAAAGAUGAGCAACCUAAGCAGGUUAUAUGGGAUGGUCACACUGGUAGCAUUGGGCGAACUGCGAACCAAGCCAUGUCACAGAGUUUGGGUGGUGAGGAUCAAAAUUAUUUUGCUAAUAAUGAGGCUAAAAACCUCCCUGGCCCUGCUGCACCUCCUCCUCGACCUGGUAUGCCUUCAGUUCGUCCUCUUCCGCCACCCCCUGGACUAGCACUGAAUCUUCCCCGUGUUUCUCCCCCAACAGUCCAGUAUCCUGCCCCAACCAGUGGUGGUCUUUCAGUUCCUCCUCCAAGGCCUCCGUUACCCAUUAUGCCAUCUGUUCAUCCAGCUCAUCAUCCAAUGCCAAUGACUUCUGGGCAGCAAACAUUCAUGUCCAGUCAACCACCUCCAUUGCCUUCGUCAUCAGUUUCUGUGAAUGGACCUGUUCCUCCACCCCCAGGUUCUCAAUUCACUCCUGUUUCAAUUCCUCGACCUUAUGCUUCUCUUCCUAUUCCUCCACCUGGGAUGCCUAUGAUGCCUCCACCACCUCUGCCUCAAGGAGUGCCGCCCCCGCCCCCACCUGAGGAAGCUCCUCCUCCGCUUCCAGAAGAACCAGAACCAAAGAAGCAGAAGCUUGAUGAUUCUGCUCUUAUCCCAGAAGAUCAGUUUUUGGCUCAGCAUCCGGGACCAGUUCGUAUUUGUGUGUCAGUUCCUAAUGUUGAUGAAGGAAAUCUCAGAGGACAGGUUCUGGAGAUUACCAUGCAAUCUUUGUCUGAAACUAUUGGCAAUCUGAAGGAGAAAAUUGCUGGGGAGAUUCAGCUCCCUGCUAACAAACAGAAAUUGAGUGGAAAACCUGGCUUUCUCAAGGAUAAUAUGUCACUUGCUUAUUACAAUGUGGGAGGAGGGGAGGUGCUCUCUCUCACAUUAAGAGAGCGUGGUGGUAGAAGGAGAUGAGUUCAUGCCUGCCCAUCUGUUCAAGUGUUUAGGUCUUCUUAUAGUGGGUAUGCUCAUACGCCAUCACAGUUGAAUGGUUGGUUUGAUUGGAGGACCUUUUAGGUGCUGAGCUUAUGCACCUUUAGCUGGUGCUUCAUGUUUGGGGUUAACAGGACGUUCUCCAUGGACUUAUGGGAAGGGCUGUUCAGCUUAGCUGAUUUAUCCAUGAAUGGCAUGUGGAAGUUGUGCCUACUAAUUUUUGCAGCAUGGAGCAGGUCUGGUUUCGUCAUUUUUGGGGAAUUCUUGAAAAAUUAUGAGCAAGAUUACGUUGUGUUUUUCAUGGUUAAGCUAAGAUGAAUUUCAGGUCUUAAAUCUUGUUUUGCUAAUAUUUAUUUGAGAUUCACUUUAUCUUUCUACUGGGUCGAUUCAUAGCUCUUGAAUCCUUAAGAUAGUCAGUAUGAUCCAUUAGAGCCACUUGUCUGUCUUUAUGCUUCUUAUAAUUCUUCUCUCUUAUGGCGUUGACCGAGUUUUGUCAUGGAAGCAGAAGACCUCUGCAUUGAUGACUAAAGGUUAGAGCAAAACGCAAGUGAUUAGCUCUGUGAGCAUCGCAUAUGCAUCGUAUUUGUAUAUACAGAAAACCAAGCCUGAUCAAUGAAUACACAUUUGAGUCAAAUUAUACGCUAGCGGAUUGUGAUCUGAACAACCAACUCUUCUGAUCCCAAAGUUGGCCAUUCAUUUUUUACCUUUGACACACCGUUCCCAUGGCCUGUGUUCCUUCUAUGCAUCAUCUUUUGGGCAGUUUUUAUUAUAUUUUUUUUAUUUUUUGUAGUAGCUAGGAUUUCAAGUAGUAGGAAACCAAGAUGAUGAGUUUUAUGUCUGUCGUGCUAUAUUUGAUGUUUUGGGAAUGGGACAUUCGUUUGACUUGAUGCGUGAUCUCAGAGUGACAUGAACUUAUGAGAUCGUUUGACCUGGCCUAGUUUUGGGCCCAUGUCAAUCUUCACUCGUCUUAUAUAUGUGGAGUCUCAUUUUUCCUCUGGCGAUGUCUUAGUUUCAGUGUCACUCUAUAUCAUUUCUUCUUGGAAGGUGAUGCUGAUGGUAACUCUGACCACUGAUGGAAGUAGCAAAGUCGUAAUGUUUUUGCAUUGACCGGAAUGACAUUUGAGUUAUUUGUGAUGAAAGCACCGUCGAUGGUAUCAGUGCUAAUGGAAUUGGCCAUGGUAAUUCACUCAAAAAAUUUGGCCAGUCUUACAGCUGAAAAAAGGGGGAAGAAAGUGGCUAUCUUCCUUCGUUGAAGAAUGAUUGUACCAUAUAUGUUAUGUAAGACACUGAUAUGGCCCAGAUCUGAAUGAUGGGUGCUACAGUAGUAAGCUUAUCAUUUGUCUGCCUCGAGAGCUUGAAUGAUGUCAUUGGACGUGCCCUGGGCAUGGAUAGCUGUACGUAGAGAAGUCAUUAUAUUGCGUUUUGGAUUUGUGAUUUAGUUAUGGUUUGUUUGUGAUUUUGGCAUGAUGAUAAAGGUACAGAAGGUUUUCU